UAAGACCCCUUAAAGAUGAUGAGGUAGAUAGGUUCGGGGUGGAAGCGUGGCAACACGCGGAGCUGACGAAUACUAAUCGGUCGA
rnacentral:ncRNA from 1 species